AACGGCCAUAUCACGUUGAAACACCGGUUCUGGUACGAUCACCGACGUUAAGCAACGUCGAGCCUGGUCAGUACUUAGAUGGUUGACCACUUGGGAAGGCCAGGUUCUGUAA